AAAUUGCCAUUGUGGUCCACUGUCCAGAGAAGGGGAGGAGAAUAUAAAGUGGAGAGAGAAGGAAAGAGAAAGAGUAGAACACCCACAUUUUCUGAUCACCUGCUACGUGCCAGACACAUCACACUUACUAUUAUUAUUAUUUGUACCACAGUUAAUUCACACAACCACUCUAAGGGGGUAGGAAUUACUCUGCUCAUUUUACAAACCAAACGAAGAAGUAGAUGCAGAAUGGUACGGUUUGUCAAGGUCACACAGCAAAGCCCUGUCCUUGAAGCGUCACAAAGGGGAGGGGCGUGAAGAGGCCAAUGGGAAGAAUGGAAGGGAGAGAAUGUGGCUGUAAGCAUUUACUGGAAACAUUUCAGAGGGGCCAUAUACUCAGGCCUGAGGAGAGUCAUCGAAUCCCAGCCCUUCUAGAGAGGAGGGCUGCUGGGACGUGCCUGCUCAUGGUCAGGCUACGUGUGAGUGACCAAGCUUUUCUGCUACUGGUACCUAGGAUUGAAUGCAAGAGGUUUGGAACUUUCCAGAAAAGAAUAUUGUUGUGUAUCACAGAGAGGGUACAAGAGGAAGCUCUCGGAUCGGACAGACUCAGGUGUCUCCAAACCUAGAGGAAUCUGCGGAUCUGUGAAGGGGUUUUUGUGGUGUUCAUGACUCUCCUGCUGUCAGAUUUGCAGAAGAUAAAACAGAAAAAGGAAAGCGACUCCUCCCUUAUAUUAAAAAUAAAUAAGAUUUUAAAUUUCUAUUU
rnacentral:lncRNA from 12 species